rnacentral:rRNA from 1 species
CUACGGGUGGCUCCAGUGGGGAAUUUUGGACAACGGGCGCAAGCCUGAUCCAGCAAUGCCGCGUGAGUGAAGAAGGCCUUCGGGUUGUAAAGCUCUUUUGUCAGGGAAGAAACGGCUGUGGCUAAUAUCCACGGCUAAUGACGGUACCUGAAGAAUAAGCACCGGCUAACUACGUGCCAGCAGCCGCGGUAAUACGUAGGGUGCAAGCGUUAAUCGGAAUUACUGGGCGUAAAGCGUGCGCAGGCGGUUUUGUAAGUCUGUCGUGAAAUCCCCGGGCUCAACCUGGGAAUUGCGAUGGAGACUGCAAGGCUAGAAUCUGGCAGAGGGGGGUAGAAUUCCACGUGUAGCAGUGAAAUGCGUAGAGAUGUGGAGGAACACCGAUGGCGAAGGCAGCCCCCUGGGUCAAGAUUGACGCUCAUGCACGAAAGCGUGGGGAGCAAACAGGAUUAGAUACCCCGGUAGUC